rnacentral:rRNA from 1 species
UACGGAGGGUGCAAGCGUUGUCCGGAUUUAUUGGGUUUAAAGGGUGCGUAGGCGGCCCGUUAAGUCAGGAGUGAAAGCCCUGGGCUCAACCCGGGAACUGCUUUUGAAACUGCCGAGCUAGAGUGCGGAAGGGGCAACUGGAAUUCCCAGUGUAGCGGUGAAAUGCGUAGAUAUUGGGAAGAACACCUGAGGCGAAGGCGGGUUGCUGGGCCGACACUGACGCUGAUGCGCGAGAGCCAGGGGAGCGAACGGG